GACAAUUCAAGGAUGAAUUCUUUCGAAGAGAGAGAGGAUGAUGAGGAGCCGGUUGCACCAUUGCCACACCAAGGAGGUCCAUGGCAAAGAAGCUUCAAGGCAUGAUGCCCAAACACAUUAAUAAGCUCAAAAUGAUGGAAGAAUUCGGUUUAGAAGAGAGAACACUCAAAAACACCAAUUUCAUGGUGGUUCGUGUGCUAGCCGAACCAUUGGUGCACCAUGGAAAGAGGAAUCGGUUCAACAACUUGGGAUCAAAGUCUAGGCUGCCCAUUCAUACACCAUUUCACACUCCACAUGCUUUAAAUGUGUGUUUUAAUCGGCCCCAAAGUUGUCCCAUUGCUGCCCAAUUGCUGAAAAAGAGUUUGUCCAUCAUGGUUGCUGAAGGAAGCCUGUA
rnacentral:misc_RNA from 1 species